GCAUAUUUUAGCAUAAGACAAAAGCAUGAAAACAUGUCCCAUUAUGCAGAAUAUAAAACUGCCAAGGCAAAGCGACAGGGAUUGAAUUAAAAAAAAAUAAUAAUAAGCAAAUACAGCUAGAAACUUCAUCUAUCAGCAUCUCUAGUGCCCAUAAUGGUAAGAUGGACAAAAGAUUGAUUGUCACUAUUCACAUGCCUCUCUGGGUUUCAUGGGUUUUCCAUGUGCUCCUCCACAAAUGCAUACAAAAUUCCUUUUUUUAUCUCCUGAAGAGAUGAUUAAAUAACUGCAAUUACAUUCUCUUUUGUGUCUUAUUCUAUUAAAAAAAUGCAAAUAAACUGCAAUCAACAUUGCAGAAUAUGUUCAACAGAAUCUACAACACCUUUUCACUAGAAAUUAAAUAUGGUUACAACUUAAGCAAGAGCUUCUCUAAAGUCUAAAGCUUUUUUUUGUGGUCCCGCGGUGGGGUGGGGGGGUGGUGGGGGUGUGUGGGGGCGAGGGGGUGGUGUGGUGUGGUGUGAGGGGGGCAGAUGGGAAUAAGAAAAACUUGAGAGGAAAAACAUAGAGAAGACUCUAAUAUUUGAGCUCUGAUAUUUGAGAUUGAGACACAAAGUGCAAAAACUUUGAUACCACUUAGGUAAAAUAUACAGUGAAAAAGAAGCUAAUAAAAGGGAAAAAAAAUUCAUUCAAGAAUGCCAUAAUCCACUCAACAUGCUUCGGAAUCUAUUUUUAGAGAGCUUCCUGACAAGUCUUUUAGCAUCUGAGACUUCAGCCUCUGCAAGUUUCUCAAUGUUCUUCAAAUAACCAGAAUUGACAAUUUUUCUUCUUCCAUUGUUGCUACUUGUCAAUGAAAUUAAUAUAGAUAUCAAGAAUUUUUUAUUAUUACCUGAAUUUGCUUCUUCUUGAUCAAGCAAUUGAAGAAGAAAGCCAAUGUUGCGAUCAUCCUGCACGAAUAUUUUUCGAUUUUUAGGCACUGAAACCAUGCCAGUGAGUGCCUCAGAUGCCAUUUCUCUAACUUCAAAUGAUUUUGCAUCAAGAAAUCUAACAAACUCAGACAUGAAACCAGCAUCGCCCAUUGCUUUCUUAGCGUCCUCUGAUGUUCCAGAUAGCCUAUAUGCCACUUUUAAUGCCAAUUCCUGAACUGAAACAUCUCCAUUUCGAAGAAAGAAAAGCAGCCGAUCCAUAAAUCCAUAGCUUGUCAAUAUAUUAAUAUAAGUUUUGGAAGAGAAGCAUAAAUUCUCAAUUGCUCUUAAUGCUACCUCUCGGGAUUUGAAAGUCGAUGAAAUUUUUGGAUCGAGAAGGUAUACUAAUGAGCGGAUUCCACCUUCUCUCACCACCAUUUGUCUAACUGAUUCGUCUCCAGAAGCAAUAUUCUGCAGGAAUUCAAUUGAACUUAUCUGCACGGCCUCAUCUCUUGAUCUUGCAAGCUUGAUAAAUCUAGAAACAACACCUUCUUCAAUCAUAAAUCUCUUUAUUUCUUCAACACCAACAAGGUUUCUCAAUACCCCACAAGCUGGACCAAUGAGUUCUCCUCUAGAAUCACCACUAGCGCAUAUUUUUAAUAGAGCUGUGACACCACCAUGAGCUGAAACUGACCAAGCAUUAUCGGAAUUCUCGGUCAAUUUCUGUAAACUUCUCGCAGCAGCCUCUUUUCCCAAUUCACUGCCACUUUCCAAGACCCGAACCAAAGGCCCCAUAACCCCAGAUCCAAUCAGUACGGACUUACAAGGAUCAAACCCAGAAAUCAAUGAAACCAUCUUCGCGGCCUCUUCUUGAAUUCCAAUAUCAGGUGAGUCGAGAAGAUUAACCAAUAAAUGCACAAUGUCAUCAACUUCAACAAUUACCCUGAAAGACCUCUCAUCUUCCACAACAACUUCAUGUAAAUUGACCAAAGCUUGCCUCUUCAUUUCUGUGUCGCCAAUCUUCAUUCUUGUCAACAGAUCCCUCACAUAAAACCUCAUAUCAUCUUUGCAAGCGUUGAGUCCAGGCUUAGACACAACAAUAGCAAAACCCUGAGUCAAAACACCUGCAGUGCAAAUCCCAGAUAGAUUCUUCAAGAGGCGAUCAAAUUUUGCCGCCAUUACAUCCAAAUCACUCUGCAUCAAGAGCUUGCCACUGUACGAAAGAUCCACACAUCUUCGAGCAAGAUCGUAGCAGUUGUUUGCAGCGACUAAUAUGGCAGACACGAGGCCUGAAAGUAUUGGGUUUUGGUUGGAAUCGCAAUUCUCGAUGGCGAUUAGGCCUGUAUUUAGCUCUUCUAACUUGUUCCUUAGCAUUUUCCAUUUUACCGCAAAAACUCUUAUUCCAUGAGAGAAGGAGAUCAAAGAAGAUACAACCUCAAUAGCUUGCCUAGGACUGGACGUUGAUGAAGAUGCAGCGGAGCUCUGGUCUUGUCUUGGAUUAUCCUGUCUCAUUUUUUUGUGUUUUAUCAAUGAUUUUGAAGCAAACCCAUGAAGUAUCUACGAAAUGCAGAAUCUAAGGGGAUGAUUUUACCAUGGAGACAGAGAGACACAGAGGAAUUGGCCGCACAUUUAUCUAUUAUCUCAUCAUCUGUGUUUAUCUUCUGACUAGCAGGUCGCAGCAACUGAAUUGGAAGUAAU
rnacentral:misc_RNA from 1 species